rnacentral:rRNA from 1 species
UACGUAGGGGGCUAGCGUUGUCCGGAAUCAUUGGGCGUAAAGCGCGUGUAGGCGGCCCGGUAAGUCCGCUGUGAAAGUCAGGGGCUCAACCCUUGAAUGCCGGCGGAUACUGUCGGGCUAGAGUCCGGAAGAGGCAAGUGGAAUUCCCGGUGUAGCGGUGAAAUGCGCAGAUAUCGGGAGGAACACCGGUGGCGAAGGCGGCAUCCUGGACCGACACUGACGCUGAGGCGCGAAAGCGUGGGGAGCAAACAGG